rnacentral:rRNA from 1 species
GACGAACGCUGGCGGCGUGCUUAACACAUGCAAGUCGAACGGAAAGGCCCUGCUUUUGUGGGGUGCUCGAGUGGCGAACGGGUGAGUAACACGUGAGUAACCUGCCCUUGACUUUGGGAUAACUUCAGGAAACUGGGGCUAAUACCGGAUAGGAGCUCCUGCUGCAUGGUGGGGGUUGGAAAGUUUCGGCGGUUGGGGAUGGACUCGCGGCUUAUCAGCUUGUUGGUGGGGUAGUGGCUUACCAAGGCUUUGACGGGUAGCCGGCCUGAGAGGGCGACCGGCCACAUUGGGACUGAGAUACGGCCCAGACUCCUACGGGAGGCAGCAGUGGGGAAUAUUGCACAAUGGGCGGAAGCCUGAUGCAGCAACGCCGCGUGCGGGAUGACGGCCUUCGGGUUGUAAACCGCUUUCGCCUGUGACGAAGCGUGAGUGACGGUAAUGGGUAAAGAAGCACCGGCUAACUACGUGCCAGCAGCCGCGGUGAUACGUAGGGUGCGAGCGUUGUCCGGAUUUAUUGGGCGUAAAGGGCUCGUAGGUGGUUGAUCGCGUCGGAAGUGUAAUCUUGGGGCUUAACCCUGAGCGUGCUUUCGAUACGGGUUGACUUGAGGAAGGUAGGGGAGAAUGGAAUUCCUGGUGGAGCGGUGGAAUGCGCAGAUAUCAGGAGGAACACCAGUGGCGAAGGCGGUUCUCUGGGCCUUUCCUGACGCUGAGGAGCGAAAGCGUGGGGAGCGAACAGGCUUAGAUACCCUGGUAGUCCACGCUGUAAACGGUGGGUACUAGGUGUGGGGUCCAUUCCACGGGUUCCGUGCCGUAGCUAACGCUUUAAGUACCCCGCCUGGGGAGUACGGCCGCAAGGCUAAAACUCAAAGGAAUUGACGGGGCCCCGCACAAGCGGCGGAGCAUGCGGAUUAAUUCGAUGCAACGCGUAGAACCUUACCUGGGUUUGACAUGGAUCGGGAGUGCUCAGAGAUGGGUGUGCCUCUUUUGGGGUCGGUUCACAGGUGGUGCAUGCCUGUCGUCAGCUCGUGUCGUGAGAUGUUGGGUUAAGUCCCGCAACGAGCGCAACCCUUGUUCACUGUUGCCAGCACGUUAUGGUGGGGACUCAGUGGAGACCGCCGGGGUCAACUCGGAGGAAGGUGGGGAUGACGUCAAGUCCUCAUGCCCCUUAUGUCCAGGGCUUCACGCAUGCUACAAUGGCUGGUACAGAGAGUGGCGAGCCUGUGAGGGUGAGCGAAUCUCGGAAAGCCGGUCUCAGUUCGGAUUGGGGUCUGCAACUCGACCUCAUGAAGUCGGAGUCGCUAGUAAUCGCAGAUCAGCAACGCUGCGGUGAAUACGUUCCCGGG